UUUUAUAGCCUCGUUUAUAACAAUUUUCAACCACCACAAUUAUUUUUGUUUAUUUAUUUGAUUCGAAGUCGUUCAUAUUGAUUUAAAUUAGAUCUUAUAACAAUCAAAUGAUAAUAAUAAUUAGUGUUUUCGUGGUUUAUGUGAUAAAAAGACUUUUUAGACUUUCAGUUUUCGAGUAUAAAUAAAUUAAUUUUUAGGUUUGUAAGAUCUAGGACUGCUUCAGAAUGGGUAUGUGCUUUGUUCCAGACUGUAAACAUUACAGUUCAAAGCAUCCAUGUAAGUUUUUUCGGUUCCCAAAAAACAAGACCGAGAGGAAUAGAUGGAUUUCUCUCAUAAGGUAAAAGAAUGAUAACAUUAACUUUUCAAAGAUUUAUGUUUUAAAUUUAUUUAUUUGAUUUCAAUAUUCAGAAGAAGUUUAAUAUAAAAUCACCAGAAAAAAGUGAACUGCAAAAAACUUUGUGACCGAGCUACUACCAGGACCUUCAACUGAACCACUACCAGGGCCUUCAACCAAACUACUGCCAGGGUCUUCAAAACAAGAUCAUGAAGUGACUCAAAUUUAACUUGAUGCUUCACUACUGAGUCCAUCAUCUGCAUUUCAAGAUGCUAAGAAUUACUUUUUGCGACAGCAGGUGGUUGAAUUAACUGAGAAGCUGGAAAAGUUAUCAACAAGGUUCAGCUAUGAAAUCGUGAAGAACAAAGGUGCUCAUGUACUAAUGUAUACUGUUAUUCCAACCAAUGAGCUGUUCAUGGUUCUUUUUGAUCAACUGUUUAUGACCUUAAUGAAGCUAAGACUUCUUUCACUUUCCCUACUGCUUUUAUGAAUUUUAAAAAUUGUAGGAUAAUUUUGGAUUGCACCAAAAUUUAUUCAGCAAUUCCAGCAAGCAUAGAAAUCCAGAGAUUGACCUACAGUUCAUACAAACACUGAAACACACGAAAAAUGUUUGUAGGUGUUGCACCAAACGGUGUAAUCACCUUUGUUGUGGCUGGAGAUUUGAUAUUAGCAGAUAAAGGUUUCUUGAUUAAGGAACUUCUCCCUGCAGAAGUAUCAUUAUAUAUACCUCCAUUUUUAAUUAACAACACCACAUUUUACAGAAUCCCAAGUAUAUGAAACUCAGGAAAUUGCAAAGGCUAGAAUUCAUGUAGAAUGGGCCAUCAGGAGAAUAAAGUGUAUUUUGUUCCAUCAUAUUAUAUAUCACAAAUUUCAAUUAUCUUUCAACUGUGUGCAGCCCUCACAAACUUGCAAUAUCCUCCAAUUAAAGAAGUUGAGGAGUAUUAUUAGUAGGAUCUAUACUGUAGGUUAUGCCGUUUAAUAUGAACUGAAUUGAUUAACCGUACGGAAUUGAGCCAAAAUACAUAGACAUAUUAUAAUUUUGAGUUUUAAAUAUUUUUUAUUGUAGCAAUAUAUUUCCUUAUUCGACUUUUUUUGUAAAAAGUUUGGAAAUUUUUAUUUAAAAAAUGUAUAUUUAAAUUUUACUUAAUUUAUAAAUGACUUGAUCUGAUACAAUCCACAAUUUUCAUAAAGUAAACAAAUACAAUUUGAUUUCUUGUCAGUCUUUAUACAGUCUUCAAAUAAAUUAUUAAGCCACAA